rnacentral:lncRNA from 1 species
GAGGAGAGUAGGGAGGCCGGCUGGGAAGGUCACGGCGACGGUGAGGAGGCGCCGUGAUCAGAGAGAUUCGCGUGGGGAGAAGGGAGGGCGACGGCUAGGGCUGGGUGACAACAGAAUGACGGGAAACAGAGCUGGGGGCCCAAGGGGAGAUAAUCUCCAAUCCCAGGCUUGCCCUUUCUUGUUACUCAAACCAUUAGCCUUAUAGGCAUUGUUUACAAAUUGAUAAAAGACCCCCUUAAACAAUUAACUAAUUAUCCCCACACACAAAUAAGUAAUUAAGAUAAAUUCUAGCCACUGCUAUGGCGCCUCCUCUGAUAGGUGCGCCCUACCAUAACAUCUCUCCCCUCCUUUGAAAACAGCUCGUCCUCGAGCUGGAAGGAGGGGUAGGACGCCCUGAACUCAACUGCGUCUUCCCAGGUUGCUUCUGUCGCCGGCAGUCCUCGCCACUGAACGAGCACGUGCCACACGCCACGCCGCAGGCUGGCCCGCAGGACGCGUUCUGGCUGAAGAAGUGGCCGCCCGUGGCGCAUGGGCGGUAGGGCCGGGACCGUGGUCGGCGCCGGACCCCGGAACGGCUUCAGGACGCCGACAUGGAAGACGUCAUGGAUACGGGAUGCAUCCGGAAGGCGUAGACGGUACGCGACGUCGCCGAUGCGUUCCACCACUUGAUAUGGCCCAGCGUACUUGGGGCCAAGUUUGCUAUUGCUGCCGGGCACGAGGGACUUGACAAUUGACAUGGCGAUGCAGCAGCCUCAGCCAUACCCAGUCCCCCACCGCGAACUCCAGCGUGCGGUGCUUGGCGUCGUAAAACCGACGCGCGUGGUCCUGUGCUUGCAGCAACCUGGAACGCACCUCCUGAAGAAACUCAUCACGAUCAGUGAACAGCUCAUCCACCAUCUCUGUCUGGGCGCGCCCAGGGGCGUAGGGCAGCAAGUCGGGCGGCGAACGGCCAUAGACGACCAUGAACGGAGAAGCCUGCAGAGCAGUAUGGAACGCCGUGUUGUAGCAGUAUUCCGCCCACAGCAGCCAGUCCAGCCAGUCGCGAGGACGAUCCCCCGUGAGACAGCGGAUGUACAUGCCCAGCACCUGGUUGACGGCCUCGGAUUGGCCAUCAGUUUGCGGGUGGAAAGCCGUGCUCAUGCGCAGCUUGACACCAGCCUGCUUGAAGAGAUCCCGCCACACAGCGCCCGUGAACACAGGAUCACGACCGCUGACAAUCGACUCGGGGAAACCGUGGAGGCGCACGAUGUCGCGGAAGAACGCGCGUGCGACCGACGCUGCUGUAUAUGGAUGACCCAGCGGAAUGAAGUGCGCGAACUUGGAGAAGCGAUCCACGACGGUGAGGACAACACUCUUGCCAUGCACCUUGGGCAGCGCCUCCACAAAGUCCAGGGAUAUGUCAGCCCAGACCUUGGAGGGCACCGGCAGAGGCUGGAGUAGGCCUGCAGGGUGCCGCGCCUCCGUCUUGUUGCGUUGGCAGGUGAGGCAUGCCCAGAUGUAGUCAUGCACGAUACGCCGGUCAUGCUCCACGGCGAACUCGGUACGCAGCCGCUGGAGGGUGCGCUUAAUGCCCUCAUGGGCGCCAGUGUGCGCGAGCUGAAGGACGUCCUCCAAAAUUGCAGAGUCCUCCGGAACGAAGACGCGCCCAUUGUGGAUGAUGAGGCCCUCGCGGACCUGCCAGUCCGGGCCCUGCUCGCCCGCAGCCACCGCGUCGCGUCGCGCACGAAGGGCCGGAACCGUGUCCAGCUCGCGCCGGAGGUCGUCGAAGAGCUGGAACGCAGGAACCGACACCGCUACGAGCGCGGGCUGGGGGUCUAGCAAGGACGCCAAGAGGGCUGUCCCCAUCCCGGCGAGACAGCGCAUCGGCGGCGACGUUAAGGCGGCCUAGACGGUACUCCACCCUGAAAUCAUAGCCAAAAAGCUUGCUCACCCAGUGGUGCUGCGGGAUGGUGGAGAGGCGCUGAUCGAGCAUGAACUUGAGCGCGUAGUGGUCCGUGCGCACGACGAACGGCCGCCCCCACACGUACGGGCGCCAGUGGCGAACAGCUUGCACCAGGCCGAUCAGCUCCCGCUCAUAGGCCGCCACUUUAAGGUGACGCGCGGCGAAGGGUCUGCUGAAGAAGGCGAUCGGUCCGGCGCCUUGAUGAAGAACUGCGCCGAAACCUGAGCCCGAGGCGUCGCAGUCGAUGAAGAAUUCCUUCGCGAAGUCUGGAAGGUGAAGGACCGGGGCUGAGGCGAGUGCGCGCUUGAGUGCAGCCAGCGUAGCCGCUGCCUCGUCGGUCCACUGGAACGCGUCCUUCCGCAGGAGGGCAGUAAGCGGCGCGGCAAUCGUGUUGUAGUCCUUGAUGAAGCGGCAGUAGUACCCGGCAAGGCCGAGAAACCCACGAAGGCCCCGUGCGGAUCGUGGCUGCGGCCAGGACUGCACAGCCGCUACCUUGGUCUCAUCCAUGGCGAGACCUGCAUGGGAAAUCACAUGGCCAAGGUACUGCACCGAGGGAGCGGCGAACGAACACUUGCUGCAUUUAAGGUGCAGCCGAUGUUCGCGUAAGACGUCGAGGACAGCGCGCAGCUGCUGCAGGUGUUCAGUCCAUGAGGCGCUGAAAAUCAGGAUAUCGUCGAAGAACACCAGCACACAGCGGCGGAGGAAUGGCUUGAGCACGAAGUUCAUAAGGGCCUGGAACGUCGAUGGAGCGUUGGACAGUCCGAAAGACAUGACCAAGAACUCAAAGUGGCCAUGGUGCGUCCGGAACGCCGUCUUGGCCACGUCCUCGGGAUGAACUCGGACUUGGUGAUAGCCGGAGCGCAAGUCCAGCUUUGAGAAAAUCCGAGCGCCAUGAAGUUCGUCCAGCAGCUCCUCCACUACUGAAAUUGGGAACUUAUCUUUGACGGUGGCUGCGUUGAGCGCCCGGUAAUCCACGCAGAAACGCCACGACCCAUCGUGUUUGCGCACGAGCAGGACCGGUGCAGAGAACGGGGACAUGCUCGGCCGGAUGAUCCCUUGUUUCAGCAUGUCAUCACAUUGGCGCUCCAACUCGUCUUUCUGCAUUUGCGGGUAGCGGUAGGGGCAGACUGCGAUGGGCUCCGUUGCCGCGCGCAAGUGGAUGCGGUGGUCACACGGGCGCGCAGGUGGCAGACCGGUGGGUGCUGCGAAGACGUCGGCAUAGUCCUCCAGGAGGCGCUCCAGCAGCACCGGCUCCGCCUCUGUGGGAGGCAGCAGGAGGCCCGCGUGCACACGUCUAGGCGGAGAGGAGUCGCUGUGCGGCGAGCCCAGCCCCCGCCAUAGCACGCGGCGGCCGCGGUGCGUGAAGGACAGGCUGAGGGCGUCGAAAUCCCAUAGGAUCGGCCCAAGUGUGCGCAGCCAGGAAAUUCCCAGCACCAUGUCGUAGCAGUCCAGAGGAAUGGAAAAGCAGUUGAUGACGAAGUGUUCCUCGCCGAUGCGAAUAGGCACAUCGCGGGCGAGACCCCGACAGGCGACGUGGUCGCCAUUGGCCACCACCACGUGGGCGCCUUGGCUGGUGGCGACGCAUAGACCAGCACGGUGCGCCGCCUGCAUGCUGAUGAAAUUGUGCGUUGAGCCCGAGUCCAGUAGCGUGGUGAAGUGUUGCUCGCCGAUCCGAAUCCGCAGCUGCAUGGUCUCCUCUGAACGAAUCCCCGUGAUGGCCCACAGGGAGAUCAUCGGGGCGUCCGGAUCGAAGUCCGGCGCUGCAGGAGCAGCGGCCGGCGCUGCAGGAGCAGCGGGCGCCUCCGGGGGGGUGUUGUCGCCCGCGUCCUCCGUGACGUAGUCCGUGACCUCGAGGUAAAAGAGGCGAGCACAUUUGUGGCUGCGCACAUAUGGCUCGUCACAGUUGUAGCAUAGACCCUGCUGCCGACGUGUUGCCAUCUCAUCGGGGGUCAGGCGCUUGAACGGCCGUGACGGCGUCACGCUGGCCGUCGGGGGCGCCUGCGGAGGGGGCGCUCCGCCCCCAGGUGCUGGCAACGCUGGCAGGGCCGCCGGGCGCCGUGGGGAGCAUGCUGGUGUCGCCGCCAGUGCCAGCAGGGACGAGUUGCGACGCUCGUAGACCCGAGCGAGGCGCAUCGCCUGCUGCAGAUCGCGUGGCUCAUGCAGUUCAUCCUCGGAGCGCAGGUGUUCCGGCAGUCCACCCGUGAAGAGACGCGCCUUAUCGAGGGCGUCCAGGCGGGGAACAUGGGCUGCACGCGACUGGAAUGCGUCCAUAUAGUUCUCCAGCCCGGACGUGAAUGGCAGGCGCGAAAGCUCCGCGAGGUGAUUGGUGCUCAGUGGAGGGCCGAAGCGCUGUUGGCACAACAGGCGGAAAUCGGCCCAUGACGGACGACCAGCAUCGCCUUCAAGGACCAGAUACCACUGCAGCGCAGUCCCCGUGAGGUGGUACGAAGCCAACCAGACGCGGUCCUCCGGGCGAGUUUGCUGUCCGUAAAAGAAUUGUUCGCACUUGUUCAGCCAACCCAGGGGGUCCUCCUUGCCGUCAUAGGAGGGAAAAGAUAUCUUGUGGAAGCACGGCACUGCAUUGCCGGCCGGGUUUGGGAUGGCAGCGGUGGUGGGUGGGUUGAAAGACAUGGUGGAUGGUGGGAUCGUGUAGAUGGGGGUGGUGUAGUUGAAGGACUGCUGGGGGUAUGGUGCACCUGCCAGGAUAGUAGAGAGGGGUGGAACAGGCGAUGGCGAGUGAGGGAAGGAUAUCUGGGUGAUUGGGACGCCAGCCAUGGAGACCUGCUGGGGUGGGAUGGGGUUGGGCAGCGAGGUCUGCUGUGUCUGCGUGACGGGCGCGCCGAGGUUGAGGGCACCACCCGAGGAGGAGCCCAGGGACGGCGUGACCGCCGCCGGCGCUGGGAGGGCGGGGAUGCCGCCAUAGCCGGGCAGACCGUAGAUCGGUGGUGCGCGCGGCGAUGCAAUGGCCGCGCUUUCCAGCGUGGUAACGCGGAUGGACAGAUCGCCAAGUUGUCGCUGCAUGCCAUAGAUGGCGGAGGUCAGCUGGUUGAACGCUUCGGCGGCGGACAGCCCCUGCGCUGAGGGCUGGGAGGUGGUCGGCGGUUGCGUUGUGGUGAGCGCUGAGGUGGUGGUGAUGAUCGGUGGGAUGGGUGCGGUGGUGGUGGGUGGUGCCGAGGACAAUGGCGGCACGGGAGCAAAUGGCGAGGCCAAGGUCGACAUGGUCUCUGAUACCAGGUUGGUACGUCGGCCACCCUUGCUCCUGAGGAAGAAUGGAGGAGAGUAGGGAGGCCGGCUGGGAAGGUCACGGCGACGGUGAGGAGGCGCCGUGAUCAGAGAGAUUCGCGUGGGGAGAAGGGAGGGCGAUGGCUAGGGCUGGGUGACAACAGAAUGACGGGAAACAGAGCUGGGGGCCCAAGGGGAGAUAAUCUCCAAUCCCAGGCUUGCCCUUUCUUGUUACUCAAACCAUUAGCCUUAUAGGCAUUGUUUACAAAUUGAUAAAAGACCCCCUUAAACAAUUAACUAAUUAUCCCCACAAAC